CUUGCACCUGGUGGCGAGUGGCGAACGGGUGAGUAAUACAUCGGAACGUACCUUAUCGUGGGGGAUAACGCAGCGAAAGCUGUGCUAAUACCGCAUACGCCCUGAGGGGGAAAGCGGGGGAUCGAAAGACCUCGCGCGAUUAGAGCGGCCGAUGCCUGAUUAACUUGUUGGUGGGGUAAAAGCCCACCAAGGCGACGAUCAGUAGCUGGUCUGAGAGGACGAUCAGCCACACUGGGACUGAGACACGGCCCAGACUCCUACGGGAGGCAGCAGUGGGGAAUUUUGGACAAUGGGGGAAACCCUGAUCCAGCAAUGCCGCGUGAGUGAAGAAGGCCUUCGGGUUGUAAAGCUCUUUUGUCAGGGAAGAAACACCGGCUCUAACACAGUCCGGGAAUGACGGUACCUGAAGAAUAAGCACCGGCUAACUACGUGCCAGCAGCCGCGGUAAUACGUAGGGUGCGAGCGUUAAUCGGAAUUACUGGGCGUAAAGCGUGCGCAGGCGGUUAUACAAGACAGGCGUGAAAUCCCCGGGCUUAACCUGGGAAUGGCGCCUGUGACUGUAUAGCUAGAGUGUGUCAGAGGGGGGUAGAAUUCCACGUGUAGCAGUGAAAUGCGUAGAUAUGUGGAGGAAUACCAAUGGCGAAGGCAGCCCCCUGGGAUAACACUGACGCUCAUGCACGAAAGCGUGGGGAGCAAACAG
rnacentral:rRNA from 1 species